rnacentral:rRNA from 1 species
AAGGAGUGUGUAACAACUCACCUGCCGAAUGGAUUAGCCCUGAAAAUGGAUGACGCUGAAGCGGGCAGCCGAUACUAGGCCGUUUGAACAAACAAAGUUCAGAUGAGUAGGGGGGCGUGGUGAUCGUGUCGAAGCGCUGUGUGCAAACGCGCGUGGAACGGUCACUAGUGCAGAUCUUGGUGGUAGUAGCAAAUAUUCAAGUGAGAACCUUGAAGGGCGAAGCGGGGAAGGGUUCCGUGCGAACAUUGAUUGGGCACGGGUGAGUCGUACCUAAGCCGAGUGGCAAUUGCUUACUCAUACGGCGAAAGGGAAGCGGGUUUAGAUUCCCGCACACGGAUGUGGAAGCGGCGACGCAUUACUGGGGCGGUGACGUUGGCAGUUGCGCUAGGCAGAGUUUUCUUUUCUGUUUAACCGCCUGACGCUUGCGCUGUGGAAUCCGCUUGUCGGGAGAAACAGGCAAGGCACGGGUAGAGCGCCGGACUUUUCCCGGCGUCUAGCUCGCAACUGACGGCCCUUGAAAAACUGUCCUCAGAUUAAACUCCACGCCGUGGCGUACCGAUAACCGCAUCAGGUCCCCAAGGUGAACAGCCUCUGCUCGAUAUGAAAAAUGCAGGUAAGG